ACGGACGGGCCUUUGGUGAUCAUAGUACUUUUCGAAUCGCAUGAACUUUACGUCGGCGAUGGUUCAUUCAAAUUUCUGCCCUAUCAAGUUUCGAUGGUAGGAUAGAGGCCUACCAUGCUUUUGACGGGUAACGGCGGAAUUAGGGUUCGAUUCCGGAGAGGGAGCCUGAGAAACGGCUACCACAUCUAAGGAAGGCAGCAGGCGCGCAAAUUACCCAAUCCUGAUUCAGGGAGGUAGUGACAAUAAAUAACAAUCCAGGACUUUCGGUCUUGGAAUUGGAAAUGAGAACAAUUUAAAUCUCUUAUCGAGGAACAAUUGGAGGGCAAGUCUGGUGCCAGCAGCCGCGGUAAUUCCAGCUCCAAUAGCGUAUAUUAAAGUUGUUUGCAGUUAAAAAGCUCGUAGUUGAAUUUUAGGCCCGGUUGGAUGGUCUGCUCUAGGGUUUGUACUGUCCUGACUGGGUCUUCCCUUCUGGUGAGCUGUCGUGUCGUUUAUUCGAUGCGGAGGGAACCAGGACUAUUACUUUGAAAAAAUUAGAGUGUUUAAAGCAGGCAUUCGUUGAAUACAUUAGCAUGGAAUAAUAAAAUAGGACUUUGGUUCUAUUUGUGGUCUAGGACCGAAGUAAUGAUUAAUAGGGAUAGUUGGGGGGCAUUAGUAUUUAAUUUGUCCAGA
rnacentral:rRNA from 1 species